rnacentral:rRNA from 1 species
UACGUAGGGCGCAAGCGUUAUCCGGAAUUACUGGGCGUAAAGGGCUCGUAGGCGGCCAACUAAGUCAGACGUGAAAUCCCUCGGCUUAACCGGGGAACUGCAUCUGAUACUGGAUGGCUUGAGUUCGGGAGAGGGAUGCGGAAUUCCAGGUGUAGCGGUGAAAUGCGUAGAUAUCUGGAGGAACACCGGUGGCGAAGGCGGCAUCCUGGACCGACACUGACGCUGAGGAGCGAAAGCGUGGGGAGCAAACAGG